GAAACAAAAAGAACAAGUCGGAAAGGGAAGAAGAGGGAAGGGGAGGAGGAAGCAAGAAAGAAAGAUACCUCACCCAUACAAAACAGAGAAUGAUAAAUAGGGGAAAGAGGAAAAGAUCGGAAGAAAGAGAAAAAAACUAGACCUAUAUGGCAAAGAAACGGAGCGAAAAAGUAGUUACCCCGCCCAUAGAAAAAAGAAAACGGACUACGGGAAAAGAGGAGGGGGAAGAAAAGAAGGAAAGAAAAAAGAAGAAAAACUAGACGUGGCAAAAAAAGGAGGGUAAGAAAGGGAGAACAAGAGGAACAAGUCGUAACCCCGCCCAUAGAAAAAGAAAAAGGACAAUGGGAAUGAAAGGAAGGGAAAAGAAGAAAAAGAGGAAAGAAAAAGAAGAAAACUAGACUUAUGGUAAAAAAAAGGGGGUAAGAAAGGGAGAACAAGAGGAACAAUUAAGUCGUAACCCCACCCAUAGAAAAAGAAAAAGGAAAAAGGACAAUGGGAAUGAAAGGAAGGGGAAAGAAGAAAAGGAGGAAAGAAAAAGAAGAAAACUAGACUUAUGGUAAAAAAAAGGGGGUAAGAAAGGGAGAACAAGAGGAACAAGUCGUAACCCCGCCCAUAGAAAAAGAAAAAGGAAUAUGGGAAUGAAAGGAAGGGGAAAGAAGAAAAGGAGGAAAGAAAAAGAAGAAAACUAGACUUAUGGUAAAAAAAAGGGGGAUGAGAAAGGGAGAACAAGAGGAACAAGUCGUAACCCCACCCAUAGAAAAAGAAAAAGGAAAAAGGACAAUGGGAAUGAAAGGAAGGGGAAAGAAGAAAAGGAGGAAAGAAAAA